rnacentral:lncRNA from 1 species
UAUCAUACUUGAUAUUUGAAGUUGAAGCGGUGACAAAAAGAUUGAAACCAUGGUCGACUAUUACUUGGUGAGUGGAUAAAACUUAUUUUUUAGAAAUAAGUCUUCUUGAAAUUUUAAAGUUAUUUAUUUUAUAAAGUUGACUUCAUAGCAUGAUUUUCAGAAUAAAAUGGAUUUUAUUAUCAAUUGCUUUUAAAGUUAAAUUGAGUUCAGUUAAAUUAUUUUAGUAGCAUGUUAUAUUCUUAUUACACUUUUCAGUAUAGUUAAAGUUAUUUCUAAAAACCACCAGAAAGUACCCAGGUGAUUUUACCCCAGUUUGCACUGAUGUGAAUGUGUUUCCACAAUAUAUGACUAGUUAUAGUGAUUUUACCCGCUCUGCACUAUCGUGAAUGUGUUUCCAUAGUGUAUGACUAGAUUAUCAGAGAUAUUUGAGACCCACUCUUAUACACACAUAGGCUUUGGGCCGUGUACUAGGGUGAUUAGCCUUUAGGGCAGCUCUGCGUACGUAUGACCAAAUUAUCAGCUAUCAGACCAUCAGAUUAUCAACUAUCAGACUAUCAGAUUUGAAUGGCUUUGCCUUGUACAUCGAGAUUACUCUGCACAUGAGUAAGGCUAUUCAUUAGGUACUCUUUAUGGUGUGAUUUUUCAGUAUUUAUUCAGUUUUCAAAUUUAAGAUUAUGGAGUUCAGUUAAUUCAGUUUUCAGAAUAAAGCUUUCAACCUAUAGUAUUGAGUAGCAGCAAUUUUCAUAUAUUUUCAUGGAUAUCAAAUUAUUUAUGUCAUUAUACUUUACAGUUGCUUAUCUAGAAUUAAGAAUAAAGAAUUUUAUGAUGAAACUAUGUUUAGUUUUAAAAGUGUUACCAGAUUUCAGAAUUUCUCAAAGUUUUGAUAGAGCAAGAAUUUUCAGAAUAUAUGCAUAAAAGAAAAAUAUGUUUAUUUGUAAAUUAUCCACUCACUGAGCUUUAAGCUCAUAUAUUUUUUCACAUUUUUCUUUAUCAGAUAGAAAGCAGACAAAUUGAGCAGCUUUGGAGCAUGUCGAACUACCGAAUUGAGCUACGCGUCAUAGAUUGUAUGACAUCUUUUAUCAGAUUAUACAUUGGAUUCUUUUGGGAUACACAUAGGUUAAAUCAGAAAAGUUCAUUAUGGGCUCAUUAGAUAUUUGGUAUCUUUAGUACUUUUGAGGAUUAUUGGUUGUAAAGCAAGUAAAUAUUGAUUUCCUAGCAUUUUAUUUGAAUAGUUUGUAUUUUGAGGGACUGGCAUACCCUGAUUUAUAUUAUAGGUAUUG